rnacentral:snRNA from 1 species
GUGCUCUCUUCAGCAGCACAUAUACUAAAAUUGGAACGAUACAGAGAAGGUUAGCAUGGCCCCUGUGCAAGGAUGACACACAAAUUCGUGAAGCACUCCAUAUUUUU